rnacentral:rRNA from 1 species
GACGGAUCUCUGGUGUACCGGUUAUGACGCCAGUCGUAUUGCCGGGUAGCUAAACCGGAAGAGAUAACCGCUGAAAGUGAUCUAAGGGAAAACUGCCUUUAAGAUGAGAUUUCCUGGGACUGAUCCUGAAGGUCGUGGAAGACCACCACGUUGAUAGGUCAGUGGGAAGCGCAGUAAUGCGUUGAGUUAACUGAUACUAAUUGCCCUGUGAGGCUUGACCCU